AAUAUUGGACAAUGGGGGCAACCCUGAUCCAGCCAUCGCGCGUGUUCGAUGAAGGCGUUCGGGUUGUAAUGCACUUUUGGCAGGGAAGAAAAGGCCCUGGCUAAUACCUGGAGCGCGUGACUGUAUCUGAAGAAUCAGCACCGGCUCAUUACGUGCCAGCAGCCGCGGUUAUACGUACGGUGCAAGCGUUACUCGGAAUUACUGGGCGUAAAGCAGACGAAGGCGGUCCGGCAAGAAGGAGGUGAAAUCCCAGGGCUUAACCUUGGGACUGAAUUCUUAACUGCCGGGCUAGAGUAUGUGAGAGGGGGGUAGAAUGCCGCGUGUAGCAGUGAAAUGCGUAGAGAUGCAGAGGAAUACCGAUGGCGAAGGCAGCCCCCUGGGAUAAUACUGACGCUCAUGCACGAAAGCGUGGGGAGCAAAC
rnacentral:rRNA from 1 species